UAAAAAUUAAUUUACUUCGAAAAGUAUAAAUUUCAUUAGAGAAUCUUCUUUAACUUUAGUAUUUUUUUGAAAAAGUUAUUUUUGUAAUAGUUUAUUAGUACUGUAAAGUAAUAUUGAAAUAUUUUUAAAUAUUUAUUUUAUUAAAAGCAUACUGUUUGUAGUACCUUUUGUAUCAGGGAUGAUAAAUUAUAUUUAAUGUAU
rnacentral:rRNA from 1 species